rnacentral:rRNA from 1 species
GAUGAACGCUAGCUACAGGCUUAACACAUGCAAGUCGCGGGGCAGCAUGGGGGUUGCUUGCAAUCCCCGAUGGCGACCGGCGCACGGGUGAGUAACGCGUAUCCAACCUGCCCUUCACCACGGGAUAACCCGGCGAAAGUCGGACUAAUACCGUAUGUUGUCCAUUGACGGCAUCCGAUUUGGACGAAAGGUUUGGCGGUGAAGGAUGGGGAUGCGUCCGAUUAGCCGGACGGCGGGGUGACGGCCCACCGUGGCGACGAUCGGUAGGGGUUCUGAGAGGAAGGUCCCCCACACUGGAACUGAGACACGGUCCAGACUCCUACGGGAGGCAGCAGUGAGGAAUAUUGGUCAAUGGGCGUAAGCCUGAACCAGCCAAGUAGCGUGCAGGAUGACGGCCCUAUGGGUUGUAAACUGCUUUUAUGCGGGGAUAAAGUGGCCCACGUGUGGGUUUUUGCAGGUACCGCAUGAAUAAGGACCGGCUAAUUCCGUG